rnacentral:tRNA from 1 species
GCUUUGAAGUAUAUAUUACGUUGAAUUGCAAAUUCAAAGAAGUAGCUUAAAGAUGCUGCCAGAGCU